rnacentral:misc_RNA from 1 species
GCAAACUUGGUCAUUUAGAGGAAGUAAAAGUCGUAACAAGGUUUCCGUAGGUGAACCUGCGGAAGGAUCAUUAUUGAAAGCUUUUGGGGGAUACUGUUGCUGGCCUUUAACGAGGCAUGUGCACGUAUCUCUUGAUUCAUUCAUCCACCUGUGCACCUUUUGUAGAAUGUCUCGAGUACAGAUUGGCUUUGCAAGUACUUUCACUUGUAGAAAUGGUUUGGAAAGGGCUUCUAUGUUUUACAAACAAGUUAAGCAUGUCUAGAAUGUCGUUUUAUUGGGACUUGAUUGACCCAUUAAACUUGUACAACUUUCAGCAACGGAUCUCUUGGCUCUCCCAUCGAUGAAGAACGCAGC